ACGGGGGGUGCGAGCGUUGUUCGGAAUUAUUGGGCGUAAAGAGCGUGUAGGCGGCUGAAUAAGUCAGAUGUGAAAUCCCUGGGCUUAACCCAGGACGUGCAUUUGAAACUAUUCGGCUAGAGUAGGGGAGAGGAAAGUGGAAUUCCUGGUGGGGGGGUGAAAUACGUAGAUCUGAGGAGGAACCCCGGUGGCGAAGGCGACAAACUGGACUUAAACUGAUGGUGAGCCGCGUGAGCGUGGGCAACAAACAG
rnacentral:rRNA from 1 species